ensembl:ncRNA F54E4.8 ncRNA
GGACUUAAUAAUAAAAAGUAGAAAAUCAAAGUGCUCUAGCUUUGGAUGAAGAAUGUGUUAUAAGAAAGUUGUGAAUACAUUUUGACGGCUUUUGCAUGAAAAUAGAGGGAUAUAGAACGAGCAUGGGGG